rnacentral:rRNA from 1 species
GAUGAACGCUGGCGGCGUGCCUAAUACAUGCAAGUCGAGCGAACGGACGAGAAGCUUGCUUCUCUGAUGUUAGCGGCGGACGGGUGAGUAACACGUGGAUAACCUACCUAUAAGACUGGGAUAACUUCGGGAAACCGGAGCUAAUACCGGAUAAUAUUUUGAACCUCAUGGUUCAAAAGUGAAAGACGGUCUUGCUGUCACUUAUAGAUGGAUCCGCGCUGCAUUAGCUAGUUGGUAAGGUAACGGCUUACCAAGGCAACGAUGCAUAGCCGACCUGAGAGGGUGAUCGGACACACUGGAACUGAGACACGGUCCAGACUCCUACGGGAGGCAGCAGUAGGGAAUCUUACGCAAUGGGCGAAAGCCUGACGGAGCAACGCCGCGUGAGGGAUGAAGGUCUUCGGAUCGUAAAACUCUGUUAUUAGGGAAGAACAUAUGUGUAAGUAACUGUGCACAUCUUGACGGUACCUAAUCAGAAAGCCACGGCUAACUACGUG